rnacentral:rRNA from 1 species
AUUGAACGCUGGCGGCAUGCCUUACACAUGCAAGUCGAACGGCAGCACGGGAGCUUGCUCCUGGUGGCGAGUGGCGAACGGGUGAGUAAUGCAUCGGAACGUACCCGGAUGUGGGGGAUAACGUAGCGAAAGUUACGCUAAUACCGCAUAUUCUGUGAGCAGGAAAGAGGGGGAUCGCAAGACCUCUCGCUUUCGGAGCGGCCGAUGUCGGAUUAGCUAGUUGGUGGGGUAAAGGCCUACCAAGGCGACGAUCCGUAGCGGGUCUGAGGGGAUGAUCCGCCACACUGGAACUGAGACACGGUCCAGACUCCUACGGGAGGCAGCAGUGGGGAAUUUUGGACAAUGGGCGAAAGCCUGAUCCAGCCACGCCGCGUGAGUGAAGAAGGCCUUCGGGUUGUAAAGCUCUUUCGGCUGAAAAGAAAUCGCACAGGCUAAUACCCUGUGUGGAUGACGGUAUCAGCAUAAGAAGCACCGGCUAACUACGUGCCAGCCGCCGCAGUAA